CACACCAUCCUCUGAAUGAAAAAGUUGCACCUAACGCACAAUUGUUAUGGUGAUAGAAGAACUGUAGUUAGAUGGGUGCACUUGGAAUGAUUUAGGUGUGGUGUAGCGGUAGUGCCCCUACCUCUGGACCAGAAGACAUGGGUUCAACACCCACGUGUUCCAGAGGUGUGUAAUAUCAUCUCUGAACAGGUUGAUUAGGAAAUAUCUAUGCUCUGUACCAUUGAGGACAUUCCAUUCCAGGCUCUGAACCCUGUCACUUUUGAGACCCAAAUCUUCUAUGUGGAUGGAGCUGGCUGUUAGGGUCAACAGCAGAGGAGUGAUGCCCAGCACCAGACCAUUUCAAUUACUUUCUGAAAAGGUUAAUUCAAAGAUAGACCUAGACAGUAUGCCUUCUGAUUGGUAGAGUGUAUUCUGAGGGUGCAUUAGUUCUCCUGUUGAUGGGAAUAGAUAAAUGUUUGAUAUAUUUCAUAAAUCAAGAGCAAAAGUCAGAACUCUAUCACUGUUAGUCUGGAAAGUGAAGUACAGACUACAGCAGCAUUUGACAAUGGAAAGCUGCAGAUGGUGAGGAAGAGAUACAUUACCCCAAACUGUCUUCAUUCACCUUCCAGGCCAAAUGAGAAUGAAAUGCCAUGGAGAAGGAAAGAUAGUGGGGUGCUACAGUUUCAUUGAUACACUUUGAGGAACUGACCCGUGAUUUGGCUAGAGUGGCAAGCCAUAAAAGACAUUGGGGAUGGAGAAAUGAAGGUAUACUGUAGACAGGGUGAAAAUACCUCAACAUCUUCACAUUCAUAUGAUGCACUGCUCCCUGUAUAUUGAGCUGUAAAAGUAUGAGCUGUCAUUUAAUUUUUAGCAGUAUGAUCUUCUGUUCACUGUCUCUACAAUGCAGCAUCAUCUUCUCUUAUGCUUGCCUCACAAUCACAAUGACUCCAAAUUACAUUCCAGAGAAGUCAGUUGGAAAACUCCUUUCGGGAAGCACCAUCACAUCUUUCUUGGAUUCCUGCCAUCAGAACCGAUGUUGACAUCUUGCUGGUCUACACAUCUUUUAAGGAAGCUCGAGAAUGGAUUCAGCUUUGGCUAGUCCCUUUUGAAGGUCGGAGGACAAAUGAAAGGCAGAGACUCUAAGGAAUCAUGGAAACAAGAUAAUUAGGGAUGGCUAAUAAACAAUGGCCUCACCAAUGAUGCCCACAUCCUAUUAAUGAACAAAAGAAGAAAAACAAAUAAGAAAAGAAAAAGUGGGAUGGCACUAUCAGGACUUAAUUGACAGGAAGCAACAUUGAAAGAGAAUUAAAGUUGAUAAUGCUCUGCACCAAAAGUUCCAGACCACAGAACAUAGAAGAAGAACAUAGAACAGUAUUCUAAAGGCUCUGGAAGAGUCCAUGCAGAUUGAAGGAAAGUUAAGCGUUGGAUCCUUUGAUGUAAAAGGAAAUCACAAUGAAAACUUCCCACAAACCUUUAGUUCACUGCUAAGUACUGCAUUACUCAUUUCAUCUGCUCGGAGUGUAAACUCAUGCUCUCGACAUUUCAUCACAGCAUCAAA